AUUUAAGGUAAAUUACAUCUGUUUGAAAGUGAAACCAGUUUUUUUUUUCAUGCAGGCUCUGUCAAUCAUAGCCAGGGGAGGUGUGGCUAGGGCUGCAUAAACAGAAACAAAAUGAUUUAACUCCUAAAUGACAGUGAAUUGAGCAGUGAAAUUGCAGGGGAAUUAUCUAUACACUAAAACUGCUUUAUUUAGCUAAAGUAAUUAAGGUGACUAUAGUGUUCCUUUAAAUAAAUUAGGCAGUAUUUGAAAUCAAUCCAAAAGGAAUCAUACAGUGCUCUGUGAACGUUAAGAUACAAUUUUUCAAUAUAGUAAAUCCACACACUUCUACACUUAGGUGGAUAUCUCCCUAGUCUACCCUAUUGUAAAAACCAACGACUAAAAAGGGGAAUGUGUACUAAACACUACCAAAACCAGUGUAGUGUGCCGAUUGAUAAAGCCCUAGGAGAUGCUGAAACACAUUUCGGAGGAGCAUCAAGGACAUAUUUACUUUGCUAUUUGCACAUAGCUUUUAUUAGUUUUUAUUAAAGUACAUGUUUUUAUGUAAUAAAUUUUGUUUUUAGUCCAACUAGCCAUUCCUGCAUGCUUGCUUGCAGUGAAGGGUUGUGCCCUCUAAUAGGCACUGAGUGUUACUACCUAGAGCCAGGUUCCGAGGGCUCUAUACAGGGCCGUCUUUAAUUCUGAUUGGACCCUGGGCAAGCUUUAACUUGGGCCCCCUGACUACAUAUAGAUACACACAUGCUGAUACACACUGACCGCAUAUAGAUACACACAAGAACAUACAAAUACACACAGACUACACAUAGAACACUGACACACAGAUAGACACAAACACAGAUACACAACCUGACAAACAUGCAGAUACACAGAUACAAACACUGAUACAUGCAGAUACAAAGGUACACACACUGACUACAUAUAGAUACACCGACACACACACACACUACAGACACACAGAUACACAACCUGACACACAUGCAGAUAUACAUAUACAAACACGGACACAUACAGAUACACACUGACUAUAUAUAGAUACACACACAAACACAAACGGACAACAUACAGAUACAAAGGCACAUUCUGACAGACGUACUGACACAGAGACACACACAGACAGCCAUACUGAAACACACAUACACACAGACAUACAGAACCACAUGGACACUGACAGACUCACACAUAGACAUACUGACACACUGACAGACAUACUGGCACAUAUACACACAGACGGACAUACUGAAACACACAUACACACAGACACUGACAGACAUAUUGACAAACACAGACAUACAGAACCACACAUACACUGACAGACUCACACACACAGACAUACUGACACACUGACAGACAUACUGGCACACUGACAGACAUACAUACAUACUCACACACACACACACACACACACACACAGACACUCAUGCAAAAUUUGAUAACCACCCUCCAGUUUCUUACCUUUUCCUGGAGGGUGGCUUCCCUGGGGUCCAGUGGGCUGGCUGGGGUGGCUGGGAGUUAAGCUCUCCCGGCCUGGCCCCCUCCGGAACAGCUCCUUCCUCCCGCGCGGCUCCUGUUUCUGUGGGAGGAAGUGACGCGCGGCUGUCACUUCCUCCCAGUGCUGCCGAAAAGCAAGGGCUCACCGAUGGGCCCCCAUAGUUUGCGGGCAGAGGGCAAAAGGAGCAGCUGUCUUGGGCCCCCCAGCUGGGACAGGGCCCGGGGCAGCUGCCCCGUUUGCCCUGCGUUAAAGACGGCCCUGGCUCUAUACAAGGUGAGCAAUAUUUAUCACAUUGUUUGCCAUAUUUUGAUACAAACAUACUGCACCACAGAUCUAUUGGUUUCUUUCACGUGUUUACUUUACAUAUGCCAUUUGAGCGGACAGAAGAGAGGAUUGUGUCACUGAGUACAUUCCUGCCCAUAUGAUCUGUGCCUGUCUUGGAAGGCUUUGUUCCACGUGAGUUGGACCAUUGCACUUUAUUUGUGUAUCUUAGUUUCCUAGGAUUUUACACUAUUAGCCUUUGUUUUUAUUCCCUGUUUUUCUCAUCGAUAUUUCCUUGUCCCUGACCAAGGGUAGGUGUUUUGUAAUACACCUUUCACACUCCACUGGUCUUGCUGGUGUUUAGUACACCUUCCCCUUUGGUUGUUAGUAUUUGAAAUCAAUACUUCUAAGAUUAUCGUGUGCUUAAUCUACGAUUUUAUUUGUCUUAUUAUUUUGGAUCAGGAGUUGUAUUUAAACGUAACAGUUACAGCACAUUUUUCAUUUCUAUAUAGCAGAGUUACAUUAUUCACAGUAGGUAGAAUUUUACCUGCAAUAGAGUGAUUGCAAGAUACAAACAUUGCUACGUGUGUAAAUAUUCUGUGAUGAUAAGAAGUAGACUUUGACAUUAUGAUGCUCAGCAGUUUUCCAGUGCAAUGAGAUUAUGAUACUACAACUGGGGAUUACAAUACUAUAUAUAUACUUUAUUUUAACACAAAUGCAUUUUUCCUGAUUAUUUAAUGUAGGAAGAGAAAGCAGUAAAUAUGUUCAUUCUAAGCUAGGUCUUAUUCACGGGUUAAAAUCACCCACUGUUUCAUAUUCUUUUAUUAUCAUUGUACCGGUUACUCACUGCAUUUAGAUAAGUGUGCUGAUUUGUUUGUUAAAAACAAAAAUGUCUAUAUCAUACUCAUAGCCAUUGCAAAUGAUCUUUACAUUUAUAAAAAUGUAUACUGUCAUAUCGAUGUAACAGUACUAUCAUAUCUGUAUGACAAGUUUUAUUCCUUCCAAACGAAUCCCAUAAUCGGGUUAUUUUGCCUAGUUCAUUGGCUGUUAAAGGUGGGAGUGUGACCUAAUGGCUGGUAACAACCAUAUUACAAAGAUCAGAAAAUAAAUUCUGUUUUAACAGUUUUGUUCUCACCAAAUGCAAUGCAUUUGUCAUCUGUUUGAUCAAGUGCAAGUUGAAACAAAUGCAUUAGGGGGUGUAACUAUUUUGCUUUAAUCACAUAUUCUAAGUUCCUUUACUCCAUUUCGGUCUCUUGUGGUUACUUUUUUAUUUGCUAUAGUAAUGUAUCAUGGUUUUACUUUUUGAAUAGCUGAGAAUUUACUACUUUAGGAAUGCUAUGAAGUAGGAUCCAGCCUUUGUUCAGUUGUCAUGUAGGCUAAAGGGACAUUCCAGGCCAUUAAAGCACUUUAACUUUCUGAAAUGCUUUGUGUGUGAUGAGUGUGUCCUCUUUUUUUAUUUAAAAUAAAAUUGGAGAUUUCAAUAGAAAUUGGCACUUUUAUAAAUUAACCUGGUUACACUCCCUGGCUGUUAAUCAGACAACAGUUCUAGUUACUUCCUGGUUGUAUAACUCAGUGGAGCUAAACUCAAGGCAGCAAUUGCCGAGAGAACCUGCCUUGACUUCUCAUUGAGCUGCACUGGGAUGUCUCUGAUUGGACAGCCACAGAAAGUCUGGGCGGGGUUAGAAAGGUAAGGCUUGCAAAGGCUUCCAAAAAAUAGAUCUGCAACUUUUGCCAGCUGCUUUUAAACCCAAUAACAAAAUGCACAAUUAAAGGACCACUAUAGGCACCCAGACCACUUCAGCUCAAUGAAGUGGUCUGGGUGCCAGGUCCAUCUAGCUUUAACCCUGCCUGCUGUAAACAUAGCAGUUUCAGAGAAACUGCUAUGUUUACAUUUGGGUUAAUCCAGCCUCUAGUGGCUGUCUCAUUGACAGCCGCUAGAGGCGCUUCCGCGCUUCUCACUGUGAUUUUUACAGUGAGAAGACGCCAGCGUCCAUAGGAAAGCAUUGAGAAUGCUUUCCUAUGGACGGACUGAAUGCGCCCGCAGCUCUUGCAGCGCAUGCGCAUUCAGCCGAUGACGUUGGAAUGAGGAGGAGAGUCCCAAGCGCCAGAGAAAGGUAAGUGUUUAACCCCUUUCUCCCCCUUCAGCCCGGCGGGAGUGGGACCCUGAGGGUGGGGGGGACCUAUUAACACUAUAGUGCCAGGAAAACAAGUUUGUUUUCCUGGCACUAUAGUGGUCCUUUAAAUGCAUACAUGUUUUCAUUGGGUGUAUCUCUAAUAAACAGAAUUAUUAUUAUUAUUUUUUAUUUAGGCAGUGAAGCGCUAUUGGGUUUUACUGAUAGCAGUUUACAGUUACUUAGUGGGUGGAGACGAAGGUAAUGGUUGUCAUCACUUAGGAGUGUCGUUUUGCUGCCCCAUUGGCAUUGUAGGCAUUUACCCAGAAUCCACAAUCAUUUGUAAGAAAGGCAAGGUAAGCGUUAUGAAACAUGUUGGGUAGAGACAAGGUAUCCGCCUAUCGCAGGUCCUCGUAGAGUGUAAGCGCCUUCACCUAUAAAUAUCCCAAAACACUAUGGAAUAUGUUGGCGCUAUAUAACUGCUAAUAAUAAUAAUAGACCCGCUCCAUACAAUCCACACCAGCUGGGCAUCACCCAAUCAGCACCCAUCGCUGCACAUCACUUGCCUCCUACCUAAAUACAAUCAUUUGUACAUACACAAACCCCUCACAGAAGCUACCAACAGACCCUACAAAACAUACAAACCAAUUGUGAUUUUUUUUUUGUAAAAUGCUUAUUUUGCUCCAAGUUCAUAAAUGCAUUAAACCAAUUGCAAAUGCUGAUGCAGAGUAUUAGAUUAUAUUCAUAAAUGUUCCUUUUUUUAAGUGAGAGGUCACCUUGAAUAGGUUUUAUGAUGUAAUAGCUGUGUUUGUUUUACAUUACACUUAGUUGUAUAUACAGUAAAAUGUGUUAACACUAUAUAUAUAUUUUCCUUCCACUAAGCAAGCUUCUGCAAUAUGCUAAGUAUGCAAAAUAACUCCAGAAAAUCCUGUUUUACAGAUCCAGGCAAUGCUGAACAAGUCAUGUAAAUGACAGCAAGAAGUAUCUGUAACACGUCUGUUCACUGUAAGUAUUGACCUUAUACUGUGUAAAUUGCAGAACAGUCAUAGCUUUAAACGUUGUACAAUGUUCAGUGAGUUGAUUACAAACAGUACAACAGAGGGCACUCAGAUAUUGACAUGUAUGGAUUGCAAUUCAAAGAGGUGCUCACUUUAAAUACCCUGUUCUCCUUCAGGGCUUAGUUAAUACACUAUAUUCUAAUAUAAUACAGUUAUACAGCACACUGCAUAAAAAAACACACUCUUUAUUAGAAGAUUCCGAACAACAAUUAAUCUGUUCAAACCAGAAUAUAUUCACAAGUAGUAUAUUACAUUAGCAAAAUAUACCAAACUGGUAAUCACCAUACCUAUCAGUAAUCCAAAUGAAGCAUAACGUAUAUAGCAAUAAAGAAACAUACAAAUAAUUGGAUUACAUACUGAAUAGUAAAAUGAUAGGAUAGAGAAUCCUGAUACCAAAGUAUGACUUCCCAAAGUGGAAAUGUCAGUCCGAGGCCCCUCCAGGGUAAACCAUGCAAAGAGCUCUGAAGUCUUGCGUAGGGAAAAUGCCCUGUGUUUGUUUAUAAACAAAUAUAUAACAUAAACAAAGUCAAUUGACUCCUACAUGUUAGGGCAUUGAGCUGUAAGACUGGAUGGGCAUGAUCUGAACACCAAAACUGCUUCAUUAAGCUAAAGUUGUUUUGGUGACUAUAGUGUCCCUUUACUGAUUUAAAUUGCUGGCAUAGAUAUCAGAAUAGUUGGUUUGAUGGUAUGCUUCUAUUUGACAAAAUUGCAUAAAUUAAUAUUGAUUUCUGGAAUAAUUGCGUUAUAAAUCUGUCAAAAUAUGACCACUCUUCUUCAAAAUAUAGUAGUAGACUAUGUAUGGCACAAUAUACAAAAGUGUUUUGCACUUGGUUAAGAAUGAGUAUGUUUGAGAAUGUGAUAGAAUGGCUUGCUCUCCCCGUGUCUCACCCUCAGUUUGUCCUGUAUUCUACAUGAAGAACUUUGUUAAUGUCUUCAUUGUGUUGGAAAGGGAAAAGGAUCCAACCCUUUCACCUUUGCUGUUAGUUUUUGUGAACUUUGACGUAAAUCCAUGUAUUAAGGUGGAGGGAUCAGUUGAUAAUUUUAGUUUUCUAUUGGCUGAAGUGAAUUUAAAGGAAAACAGAGCUGAAAGGAAACUGCUUUGGAAGUAGCCACAGACAUUAAAAAAAAUUCUGGUCAUGUAUUCUCUGUGUCCAAGAUGCAGUUGUUUGUGAUGCAGUUGUCUGUGAAACAAACAAAACAAAGACUAUUAAAUUAAUUAAUAAGACAUUGCCUCAGUAGGUUUGCAGUGUGGUAUGUUAGCUAACAUUAUCCAGCGACCCCUAGCACUAUAACUAGUUGGUUUUAUUCCAGUGUCAUUUCCCAGGUGCCCCUAAUAAUGAGAGCUAAUGGGUGUUAAUCCAGUCUGCUUCGAGCUGCCUUUAGCCUUAGAAGUAGUGGGUUUUAAUCCAGUGCAAUGCUUGAAUCUAGCCACUGCUAGCAACUAAACGUUAUGCAUUGUAGCCUGGUGUGGUAUGUUCAGUGCCCCUAGACAGAGAAAUAAUGGGUUUUAACAUGCAAACCGUAUGAAGUAGUAUUCUGAAGAAUUUUUUUUUAACUAUUUGCAUGUUAUUGACUUGUUCAGAUUUUCAUAGAUUUAGCACUGGUUUUAAUCUUGCAGAGACAGAAUUGUCAUGCUAUAUUGAAGCUGCAUGACGUUACUCCCAAGAGUCUCAGUAGAAUGUACAGUCUGCUUGAGCAUUUUACUACAUGACAUCAUUUUUCAAUGAUUCCACACAGCGGCUUAUGCCUCUUAAACACAGCCCACCCUGUAAAAAUAAUAGGACAUCAAUGAGCUAGACAAUUCUUCAUCAUGCUGUAAAAAAAUAAAUUAUAAGCUACUUCACAAUGCAUGGAUUAAAUAAAACAUUAAGAGAUGUAAAGCUACCAAUACAUUUUCAUUUGACGCCCAGGAUUUGUUUGGACAAGUAGAUCAUUUUAAGUAUUAAUAUUCUUAUUAAUGUUAUUGUGUAGAUUGUCGUUUCUAAAAAGUUAAAACAAGAGUACCAUAACAUAGCCGUGGGACCAUUUGCUAUGGGCAAUUCCACCUCCCAUCACUAAACAAGAAAAUACCUUUAGGCAAUUUACUUAUUAAAUCGCAGUUUACUACCAAUUUGGCCAAAAAUGAACAGAAAAUUUAUUGGUUAAAGUGACUCUGUCAACUUCGGUGGUCUUUGAUUAUUUUUAAACUUCCUCCGAAGGUGACGUCCCUGUCUCUGGCAUGUUUGUGGGAAUUAAAAAAAAACAACUUUUGUUAUCUAAUAAGUUGGAACUUGAGUGAAAUUCUAAUGUAGUUAUUAUCAGUAUUUCAUAAAGAUUGUAGUUUAUGAAAUAUCCAUAUUGUGGCAACAAAGCCACUUUAACGGAACCAUAAGUACUACAGGGUGUCGUGGUUAUAGUACCAGUAAUGUAGUCCCCUCCCCUAUUGUAAAAAAAAAUCAAACCAUUUAAGGAUUGUUUUUUUUUCUUACCUGGGACCCAGGUUGGUUUGACUACUUACAGUGAGGGUGCAAGGGCACUUCUGGCACCAUAACCACUGCAGCACACUGUAAUGGUAAAUAUGCUUGGGGUGUUACUUUCAGGUUUCUAACGACAAGUAUACAUUAAUAAUUGUAAUUAUUCAGGUUAUUGUGAAAUAAAUAAUCAUGCCACCAGCACAACAUUCUACCAAUGCAUUAUGCCUGAGUAAACUUGCCAAGCGUUUGUUAGUUAUGGUUUGCUUUGCACUCUGCCUGGACCCAUGAUUUCAAUGGAGUCACUCAAGCAGAAUAAUUAAAUUGUACUUAUUUUCUUUCGAUCUCCUAUAGUGGUUUUGUUCUGUGAUUUAGAAAAUUGAAAGUUAUACAGUAAUUUCUUUGGUUAAUUGAACAAAUUGUAUUGAACAUUAUCACAAUUGGCUCCUUCCCUCCCACUUUGGUCUGCAUGAUUCCAUAUUGACCGUAAAAGAACACUUAAUUAAUUGGGAUGAAAUUCCUGCACGAACAAAAAUUGUGAAUUUUUACAAUAAUUAGUGGCUUAAUAUAAGUAAUGAUGAAAUGACAGUCUAGUUGCAAAAUAUAGAUUGAAAUAGGCAAGUUAAUUUAUUUAUUUUUUAAUUUGCUUUUUAGGGAUAAAUUUUGAAAGUCGGUUACUAACAUACUGUUUAGUGAAUAUAAAGAUAAUUAACUUAACCCUGAAUAGAUAUUGUUUUGAAAAAAUGUAUAAAUAUUUCAGAAUGCAAUGAAUGGGUACAGCCCUAUGCAAAACAGUGUCUGUUAACAAGUUUAUAGUAAAAUGAGGUCCAAAUGCUAUACUUUGCAUGACAUUUGGAUAUUCAUGAAACAUUGAUUUAGUGAAUUACUUCCAAAUUAGAACAGUUUGGACACUUUCAGAAAUUUCCUUAACAUGCUCAAGGUAAAUGGGUUCAUAUUAAUGAAUGUUAACUCCCGUCAGAACAUCUGUAGUUCAGGGGAUGUAAUGUAGGGUGUCAUCUGCUUCUGGUUAAUAGGGGGGCUGAAUGAGAACUCUUUAUUCUUCUUAUUUAUCUGUUUUGAACUAUUUGGAAAUUGAGAAACAACUCUGGAAUCAUUCAGGAAUUAAUUACUGUGCACAUUGUGAGAUAUUUGAGGCACUUAAAGGGAUUCUCCAACACUAUUUUUGUUGCUGAAUACUGCACUAUUAAGCAGUAGUCUUUUGGUUACUCCCCACAUAAAAUGCUGAAAUAACGUAAUAAAAUAAGUUUUUACUUACCUAAAUCCAGUCCUUGCACCGCACGUGCUCUGAGCCAGCAAGGGACAAGAGAAAGAGAUGGAAGGAAUUUUUGUUUUGACAAAUUCUGUGUUUAUUGAUUAAUCCUAUUAUGUUUUGGUAAAUAUGAUGUUUUUUCAAAAUCAAAUUAAUUAUGGGAUGGACUGUUAAUAUAAACACCUAAGAGCAGAUGAACUAAUGAACAUUUCGUUCCAAUAUAUCAAAUGAAAAAAAUAGGGACACUUUAAUUUCAGUGAUGUGAGUAGGAGUGUGACCAGGGCGGUGCUGUUCUGAGAGAUAUUGGGUGGCUUAAUAAUAACAAUGUAUGCAAAGUAAAAUUUAAUUUAAAAACAAAAUCCAUGUACCUUACUUUACGCAGAGUGAUAUCUCCCUCUACAUUUGUUGCAGUUUAAACAGACAUUACAGUACCAUGAAUAUUAUUGCCAUGGACCUCUUUUAUACAGUCUCAAAGAUCAACAAUAUGGAGGUCGCAUAAAGGAAGACAUUAUAAUAAAACAGGGAUUGAGGGAUUUGGGUCCAAAACAGGGACUGUCUCUCCUAAAUAGGGACACUUGGUGGGUAUUUUAUCACUUUCAAUGUAUGUGACUCACUUACACACAAUAACGAAUUAAAGGACCACUAUAGGCACCCAGACCACUUCAGCUCAAUGAAGUAGUAUGGGUGACAGGUCCAUCUAGGAUUAACCCUGCCUGCUGUAAACAUAGCAGUUUUAGAGAAACUGCUAUGUUUACAAAUGGGUUAAUCCAGCCUCUAGUGGCUGUCUCAUUGAAAAUGCUUUCCUAUAGACUUGCUGAAUGCGCUCGCGGCUUUUGCCGCGCAUGCGCAUUCAGUCGAUGACGACCGAAGGAGGAGGAGAGUCCCCAGCGCCGAGGGAGCCCGGCGCUGGAGAAAGGUGAGUGUUUAACCCCCUUCAGACCGGCUGGAGAGGGACCCUGAGGGUGGGGGCACCCUCAGGGCACUAUAGUGCCAGGAAAACGAGUUUGUUUUCCUGGCCCUGUAGUGGUCCUUUAAGUUAUUUUGUGUAUUCUGCCCUGUAGCUCACUAUAUAGAAAUCAGGAUCUAUUUAUACAAAUAAUGCAGAUGUGACACUUCUUAAUAAAUUAAGAGGGUCACCUCUUUUAAUCCACAUGACAUUGGCUUAAGAAAAACCGAAAGACACUGUGCACUAUAACCAUAUAUUAUAUAUAUAUAUAUAAAGCUGCAGUGGUUAUAGUGUUUAAAGUGUCCCUUUAAGAAGCCACUAAGUCGAUUUAGCUGCAUUACUCCUUACAGUUGUACACAGUUCAGCGUACAUAGCCAUGACCAAUGGGAGUGGUCGUAAUUACAGAGAGCCACUGACAGGCAGAAUGAAUUGAAGGUGACGUCAAUAAGGAAGACAUUUUGAGGAAAACAAUGUAUUCAUUCAUGUGUUUCUAAUAUUUUUAUUACUAGAAAGGGUUAAAUAUUUACGUUGGGAGUGAGAUAGACAACUGUAACUUAUACAGUUCUUCAAAGGAGAAUUUGUUUAAUAUACAUGGAUUUAUGUGCCGAUGUUUAUGACAGAGUGGCUGCCAUUUGACCCUUAUGCUGUCUCCUUUACUGAUGCCUGUUACUGCUCUUGGAAAUGUAUUGUAGGACCAAAUUCCUACUAGGGGGUACUCCUGAUUCACCCUUAAAAUGUAUGUUGUUCAGAUUUAGCACUCGAAAAGCCUCUGCUUUUCAUUCAGUUAUCUAAUGAAAACCAAGUCUCCCUCAAUGUCAGCUGAGCCCUUACGCACAUUGAUAACAUACAGGUGUGCAGAGUUACUAAGAUUACUAAGGAAGAUGUUAAUAAGAGUAUAGAAACUAAUAGAAACAAAAUAUGAUCUUUAUACAUUUAUUUAUUUUUAUUUUACUAGGAAGGAUACAUUGAGAUUUCUCUCAUUUUCAAGUAUGUCCUGGGUCCACAAAACAUUGCAUUGAUAAAAUAGGAUACAAUAUUACAAAAAAUACAAUAUACAAAUAAUGUGUGUGUAUAUAUAUAUAUAUAUAUAUAUACUUACACACCUAUAUAAAUUUAACACAUAAUAGGUAAUAAAUAUAGUCAGCCAUGACAGGUGCAUUCUGUAUUGAGGUAUAUUGCGAUAGAUCUCUUAAAAGAUUUUAGAUUAAAUUAAUAUUUGACUGUGUCCCGUAGUAGUGACCAAUGCUUUAAAGAGAUACUAUAGUGUUAGGAAUGCUAACUUGUAUUCCUAACAUUAUAGCUCCCUCUGCCUCCCCAUUUCUUGCGCCCCGGCCAAUAAAGGGUUAAAAUCCCUUUGUGUACAUGCCAAAUCCCAUUGCUCAUGUCCCUUUUGCUGGGUUGGCACUCUGUCUCUUCCUAAUGUGGUAGAAGCUUGCCUUGCCUACCUAUAACACCAAUACGCAUGCAAGGCAAGCACAUUAGGCCCCCUCCAAAGGAAAGCAUUGAAUCAAUGCUUUCCUAUAGGAAUUUCACUAAUACUGGGUGGUUUCAUGAGAGAGUGAGGACGUCCAGCGUCAGCUAGGAAACCAAAAGUUGCCUAGCAAGCAGGAAGUGCCUCUAGUGGAUGACUGGCAGAUGGCUAUUAAAGGCUAACUUAGUGUUGCAAUGUAAAGAUUGUAGUUUCUCUAAAACUGCAGUGCUUUACAUUGCAGGACCAGGGCCGCCAUCAGGGCAUGACAACCGCAACGGAAAUUUAAGGGAGGGGGGAGAGGAAGGAAAUUUAAGGGAGGGGGAGAGGAAGGAAAUUUGAGUGAGGGAGGGGGGAGAGGAAGGAAAUUUGAAGGAAGGAAAUUUGAGGGAGGAGGGGGGGAGGAAGGAAUUUUUGGGAAAGGAAAUUUGAGGGAGGGGGGGGAAAGGAAAAUUUGGGGGAGGAAAGGAAAUUUGAGGGGGGGAAGGGAAAAUUGGAGGGGGAGAAGGAAGUUGAGAGGGGGGAGAAGAAGGAAGCUGGAGAGGGGAGAAGGCAAUGAGAGGGAAGGGGAGAAGGACAUUGGAGAGGGAGGGGGAGAAGAAGGAAGUUGGAGGGGGGAGAAGGAAGAAGAAGGAAAUUGGAGGGUGGGGGAGAAGAAGGAAAUUGGAGGGUGGGGGAGAAGAAGGAAAUUGGAGGGGGGGAGAAGAAGGAAAUUGGAGGGGGGGAGAAGAAGGAAAUUGUAGAGGGGAGAAGAAGGAAAUUGGAGAAAGGGGGAGAAGAAGGAAAUUGGAGGGUGGGGGAGAAGAAGGAAAUUGACGGGGGAAGGGGGAGAAGGAAUUUGACGGGGGGAGGGGGAGAGAUUGACAUCCAUCACACAUACACACAAUGCACCCCUUGCACACAGAAAAACACACAAUGCAUUACACACAGACACACAUACACAAGCAAUGCAUCCCUUACACACAGCAACACACAAUGCACCCCAUACACACACUCAAUGCAUCCCUUACAGAUGCACACACUGCAUCCCAUACAUACACAAACUCACCUUGCAGCCCUUACACAUACAAACACAGAUUCACACAAUGCAUUCCUUACAAACAUCAGGACAUCCCCCCCCACACACACUCCACCCUCUGUGAACAAACUCAUUGGUGGAACAUGAAGGUGGACCCUGGGACCCAGACCUUGCGCUGUGUAAAGGGCCCUCAAAAAAAUGGAGCUGCUUCCCGUUGAUCCCAAAACAUUGAUUUUUGUGACCACAGUUACAAAACGCCUCCAGAGAGCCUGUUCUACACCAGACCAGUGGAGCCAGACUGCAGCUAGAGCCCAUCAUCAUCCUCAUCUGGUUGUAAGUAGGCAAUCUAGUAUAUUAUUUGUGGCACUAAUCUCUAAUUUACCUCACAUUAAAGGGACACUAUAGUCCCCAGAACCACUACAGCUUAAUGUAGUGGUUCUGGUGUCUAGCCUGUCCCUGCAGGCCUUUCAAUGUAAACACGGCGGCACUGCAGCACUGGUGUUAGUUAACAUGGCAGAUCAUAUGGGUGGGGCAUUGUGAUGUCACAUGGGGGGGCGGCAAACUUUACUUUUGCAUAGGGCGGCAAAAAUCCUUGCACCGGCCCUGCAGACACUGCAUUCCUGUCGGCGGACUCGGGUGCAGGCACUGGGGGGCCCAGACCGUGAGCUGUGUCAGGGGCCCCAAAAUUUCUGAUGGCAGCCCUGUGCAGGACUAAGGGCAUUAGGACGAGAGUGAGCUGAAGUGGUCUGGGUUCCUUUAGUGUCCAUCUAAGCAUCAAAUGUUGGACCUGGAUGUUGGAUAUUGCACAAUGUAAAAGAAAAAAAAGUAUUGUUCACACAUGUAACGGAUCGAUGGGCACCCCGACUGGGUACCUCCGUUGAAGGAUGCUCCUAGCGCUUCCUGAGGGCUCCAAGCACUCCAGCCGACACCAUAACCACUGUAGACUCCUUCAGAGAGCAAGACAGGAACAAGCUCUUACAAGAGCUCAGUGAUUAUAGCAAGGGAAUAUGCAGAGCAUAGCAAUCCCUUGUAGCAGAUUCCCCCAAUAAGAGACGGCACUCCAAAUUGAGGGUGAAGUAGAACUGACAGAGCUGUGGGUUUAUUGUUCUUAUAUGCACAUUCUUACACAUUAGUACCACCCACAGGGUUUUGUAAUAAACGUGCAAUACACUCAGACACUCACACACAAAAUCCUCCCCUCUGCACAGUUUUACACAAUAUUCAUAACUUUAAAAGUAUGCAUCACAUUCACAUAAAACAUUUUCAGAAUCAGCAUACUCCAAAUACAAACAUACGGCAAAAUCAUACAAAUUGGUCCAGUGGGUCAAAAGUUAGAUCAACGUCCUUUGUGACCAAAUGAAGCAUGGCUUUUCUGCCCAAAACCAGUUCCACAGAGUCUUCUAUGCUGGAGAUAAUUGGGAAGUAAUCCAAUUAUCUCCAAGGACAGAGGAAAAACUCCAUUAGCCACAUGGUAGCAAAAUACAAUAAAAUACAUAAAAAUAUAUAACUGUGCAGCUAUUGCAUAAAACAGGUACAUUCAACAUAUCCCCAGAUAGCUUAGAUCUGAGCGCACAUUAUUACUGAAGGCCGUCCAGAUCACAUACAUACAGUUCAAUUGCCAUGGAGCCAAAGUCUUUCACAUAGUCUUUCGUUAUUUGAAUGGGCUCCAUGGCAUAGCUAUAUGGGGUAACACUGCUUACAUAGGGAAAGUACCGAAUGACCCAGCUUUCAGGUCUUUGCAGGGAAAAUCAAGCAUUUCAACAUGGGGCCAUAGUCACAGGGCAGGAGGCUGGCAAUCAGUCUUCUCCAAUGCCCAGUGGUGAGGCUGGUUCCGCCACAACACACAUGUCAAAAAAUGUGGAGUAAAUUAGCCCUGAUCUUUAAGGAGUUAAAUGGAUCAUCUCAACUGCUGCUCCAUGGGUAAAUAUAGAAGAAUGUCCCCUUGUGGCUAGACUCUUACUGCACCCCCAGUGGUAGACCAGUUUAAAAGCUGUUGAAUUGGACAGCUGGAUUGUUCAUUUCAGAUUUAAAAGCAUACUGCAAAUGCAGUACUUGUUUAGAAGCACAUACAAGUGAUGUAAUUGUGUUGGCAUCAGUUUAUAGAGAACUGAGUGUUGAAUAAAAACACACUUUCUCUUUCAAGUGGCACGAAAGCACUUUGCAUCAAUACACCCUUGUAACAAACAGUAGCAAAGUGAACUGGAUUGGCACUCAUCGCUAAAAAUAAUUGUUCAAUGUCACCCAACUCGCUGGUGCCUAUUAGAACAACCUGAGGAUUACGCAGGUGCUGAAGUUUGAUUAUGUACCAGCUCAUCUGUUUUGUAAGCUAUAUAUAAACAGGUCCUUAGCAUGACAUACAGACACUACAAGCACAAUAACAAUGUAUCUCCUUGCAGGAGACCAUCUGUCUUUCUUAAAAUGGGUGCUUCGGACUCCAAACUAUUCGAGCUACAAACUAUUCUUCCUUUUCUAUCCAUCCAAAUGUGUGUAUGGAGUCUGACAUGCUAAUCAAAUCCCUACCUCUCAUAACAAUUUGUAUGAUAGAGUGCAAUCUGUGUCCACAUACAAAUCACAGGAUUGAAUGAUCACAUUGCAGCCAUAUUCAUUAUACUGAGCUAUCGGUAAGUCCAGCUCACAUCAACUUAGGCAUCCAUUCUAUACACCCUUUGUGAUUGUCAGGGUUACUAGUUGAUCCAUCCAGCACGUAGAAUUGUGUCACACAGAUGACUAAUAGGUAACGUAUUACCGGGCCUUAGAAUGGCCAGACUUAACGUACCAAAGAAUAGUCAGGAUACUUGCCGAGGUCAGGGGAUACAGAAAGAGACAGGACAGUAGGAUGACGACCGUUAUUAACAAAGAAUGGGCUGUGACCAGAAGAGUAAUGGGUGGCAUUGUUCCUAGAAAACUCGGCCCAGGGUAGUAAUUCGGACCAAUUAUCUUGAGUGCUAUUUACAAAACAACGCAGAUAUAACUCUAAUGACUGGUUAGCCCUCUCAGCCGUGCCAUUAGUUUGGGGAUGGUAAGCGGAAGAAAAAGACAAUUCAAUGCCCAACUGUUUACUGAACGCCCUCCAAAACCGAGACACAAACUGAGAGCCCGUCAGACACAAUAUUUUGAGGAAUGCCAUGCAGUCAGACAAUCUCACGUAUAAAGAAAAGAACCAGGUCUUGAGAGGAUGGCAAUUUUUUAAGUGGAAUAAAAUGAGCCAUCUUGGAGAAACGGUCAACCACCAUAAGAAUGGUGGUAUAGCCAUUGGAACUUGGAAGUUCAACGAUGAAGUCCAUUGACAAGUGGGACCAUGGAACAUUAGGUACAGGAAGUGGUUGCAACAAACCACAAGGAAGCUUAUGAGGGACCUUAGAAACAGCACAAACUGAACAAGCCUGCACAUAGUCCUUCACAUCGUUUUUAAGGGAAUCACACCAAAAUGAUCUCGUGAUCGCAGAUAUGGAUUUAUUGAUACCUGGGUGUCCAGCAGUCACAUUGUUGUGAAACACCCUCAGCACAUUCUUUCUUUCACCUAAUGGAACAAACAAUUUGUCCAGUGGUUUAUUGCAUGGUGCCUGAGACUGAGCCUCCAUUAUAGCACAAAGCAAGGGAGAAGACAGUGAAAGAACAGUAGAAGCGAUGAUACAUUCAGGAGGCACGAUAGGGCAUGUCUCGUGUUCCUGUAAAGACUCAGUAUCAAACUGUCUAGACAAGGCAUCAGCCUUCACAUUUUUGGGACCAGGUCUGUAAGUUAUAAGGAAGUUAAAGCGAGACAGAAACAAAGACCAUCUAGCCUGUCUAGAAGAUAGACGUUUAGCAUCCCCUAUAUAAGCCAAAUUCUUAUGGUCUGUAAUGAUCAAAAGGGGAUCCUUGGAACCUUCCAAAAGAUGUCUCCACUCUUUAGGCGCUAGGACAAUGGCCAACAAUUCUCUGUUGCCAAUAUCAUAAUUGCGCUCAGCGGGAGACAACUUUCUGGAAAAGUAACCACAAGGAUGCAAAAGGGUGUCCAGACUCUCCCUUUGAGAAAGAACCGCCCCUACCCCAGUUUCGGAGGCAUCGACUUCCAAUAUGAAGGGUUUGCUGGUGUCAGGAUGUCUCAGUAUGCCGGCAGAAGCAAACCUUUGUUUAAGAAGUUCAAAAGCUUCUCUAGCUUCCUUAGACCAUACCGUACUACUAGCCCCCUUACGUGUCAUAUUGGUGAUGGGGGCUAUUACAGAAGAAAACUCCUUGAUAAAUCCUCUGUAAUAGUUCGCAAACCCAAUAAAUCUUUGGAUGGCUUUUAGUCCGCUAGGCACUGGCCACUGUAUAACAGCCUCUAGUUUCUUAGGCUCCAUCUGAAAACCAGAGGCAGAAAUGUUAUACCCCAAAAACUGUACUUCAGUCUAAUCAAACAAGCAUUUUUCCAAUUUACAAUAAAGUUUGUUUUCCAGUAAAGUCUGCAAUACUUGUUUGACCUGUUUGUGGUGGGUUUGAAGGCCAGGGGAAUAAAUAAGAAUAUCAUCCAAAUAAACCAGGACAAAAGAAUAGAUAUAAUCCCUGAGUACAUAAUUAAUAAAAUCCUGGAAUACGGCCGGUGCAUUGCAUAGCCCAAAAGGCAUAACAAGGUACUCAUAGGGCCCACAUCUAGUGUUAAAUGCCGUUUUCCACUCAUUCCUUGAUUCUUACCAAAUUGUAUGCACUCUUGAGAUCCAGUUUGUUAAAGAUCUUAGCACCCUGGAGUCUAUAAAACAAUUCUGAAAUGAGAGGAAUAGGAUAGGCAUUCUUAACAGUAAUCUUAUUUGAUGCUCUGUAGUAAAUGCAUGGACGUAAUUCUCCAUCUUUCUUUUCUACAAAAAAGAAUCCUGCACCAGCAGGUGAGGAUGAUUUCCAUAUACGGCCCUUGUUUAGUGAGUCUUUGAUAUAUUCUUCCAUUAUUUUACUCUCCUGUGGCGGUAAGGCAUAUACUGCCCCUUUAGGUGGCAUAGCGCUGGGUAACAGAUUUAUGGAGCAGUCAUAUGACCUGUGAGGAGGUAAGAUAUUGGACUGACUCUUACUAAAUACUUCCUUGACCUCCCAGUAUUGUAUGGGAACUUUGGGGGUUUGAGGUAUAGUAGUGGGUAAUUUAAUGGUACCCACUCUCUUGGUGAGGUGUAACAUACACUUCCCAUUACAAUCCUUGCCCCAUUCCAAUAUUUCCCCAUUAGCCCAGUCAAUAUGAGGGUUGUGCUUACUAAGCCAAUGAAAGAUUUUUGUCAACUAUGAUGAUAUUAUCAAGGAGAAAUCUAUUAUUGUUAUUCCCAGAGGACGUAUCCAUUACACCUAAGACCUGUCCCCUUAAGGUUCUUAGGUGCGGUAGUUUUCCGGACUUAUGGGACAAGUACUCCUCAAAUGUCCUUUUUCACCACAGUAUAUGCAUAGACCCUCUCUUCUCCGAUUUUGUCUUUCUGCCUCGGACAGUCUAGUGACACCCAACUGCAUAGGUUCGGGUUUGGACUGAAUAGAGAGGUCAGGAACAACCGGUCUGGAGAAAUGAGGUGCUAAUGGGAAAGCCAUAUGUCUGGUUUUAUUUCUGGUUCUGAGUCUAUUAUCAAUUAGCAUAAUAAACGUAAUAAAAUGAUUGAGUUUUGUGGGUAGUUCUUUGGCAGCAAUCUCAUCCAACAUAGUCUCAGAUAAUCCCUUCUUAAAUGCUGAGAUUAAUCGCUGUUAGUCCAGUCUACCUCGGAAGCCAAGGUGCGAAAUUCUGUGGCAUACUCCGAGAUAGACCGGUUCCCUUGUCUAAUAUGCAUUAGGGCAGUGGAGGCAUCAUCCUCCCUGCCUAAUGGUUCAAACGUAAGUUUAAAUUCCGCAAGGAAUUCCUGGUAAUUGUGUGCAAUGCUCCUACUACUCUCCCAUAACGGAUUAGCCCAAGCUAAAGCUUUACCUUUAAGUUGGUUCAUCAGGUAACCAAUUUUAGCUCUGUCAGUGGGAAAAGAUCCCGGUGAGGCCUCAAAAUGAUACUCAAUUUGGUUAAUAAAUCCCCGGCAUUCUUGAAUAUUACCAUCAAAAUGCAAGGGAUGAGAUAGGGAGAUAGUAGGUGCCUUAUGUACUACAGGAGGUACAUUAGUUGGAGGUGACACAGUUGGAGAAGCUGCAGGUUGCAGAUGCGCUGUUCGAGUAAGGAGCAUACUGAAAGCCUGGGCAAACUGAUCCAUACGGUGAUCAUUCUCCACUAGCUUUCUCUCACAAGCAGCUAUGUGCUGACACAAUUCUACACGAUCUAUGGCCAUGUCGUAAUGUCAGGAUUACUAGUUGAUCCAGCACGUAGAAUUGUGUCACACAGAUGACUAAUAGGUAACGUAUUACCGGGCCUUAGAAUGGCCGGACUUAACAUACCAAAGAAUAGUCAGGAUACUUGCUGAGGUCAGGGGAUACAGAAAGAGACACAACGAUAAGAGAAAGCCAGAAGUCAGGGAUACAGAAUACAGGGAAGUCAAAAUCAAAGCCAAAGUCAAAAACCAGAAGUAACUUGAAUCAGGAACGCGCUCUCGGACAACCACAAGAGAAACCACGACAGGGUACAGAGCAGGAUGAGAACUGGGCCUAAAUACCCCUCCUCUGGAUCUGAUAGGCUGUAAUCACCUUUGACCCCAAAGGCAGUUACCAAGUUACCAUUUGCAUAAUUACUGCUCAGCAUUAACCCUUCUGUGGAUUUGGUUGCUGCUCGGCACAACUUUUCCUGUGUGGACAGUAAAUGCUAUUAACCACAUUUUUAUAAUCGGAUGAAUACGUGACAGUGAUAUUGGAUUGCUGUUAAGUGCAGAAUCAUAUAUCCCAUAAACCUCUGCUGGGUAGACUGCACUGAUCAGUUUGAGAAUCACCUGGUUAAAGGAACACUAUAGUGUCUGGAAUAUAAAAAUGUAUUCCUGAUACAAUAGUCAUGGAAUGCAGCAUUAGGUCCCUGGUCCCCCUCAGAUUACCUUUAAAAGGUGAGUUUACUCACCUUUUUUUUUGCAAAACCCCGGCUGGCCCACCUGGCUUGAUGAUCUUGGCCAAUCCAAUGCUUUUCCAUAUGAAAGCAUAUUGGGAUGCUAUUGUGCAUUCACAGCAAAACGCUGGGCCUAUCAGCAUCUCUAGCAUCUUGAAUCACUGCAUCUCUAUGGGGAGUGUUCAGUGCAACAUGCAGAGCAUGGAGACGCUGAUUGUAGGUGCUGUACAUUAUGCACUUCUUACACAGGAAGCACCUAUAGUGGCUGUCAGAGUGGCUGUCACUAGAGGUGUUACUAGGCAGGAAAGUAAACACUUUUUUUUUCUCUGAAAAGGCAGUGUUUACAUUAAAACGACUGCAGGGACAUGCUGAAUACACCAGACCUGUCAUUAAGACCUGGCAUAAAGGCAGUGGCCCACUCCUGACAUAUUUAGCCUAUCUAUGUAUUUUAUAUGUGCCCUCAUUUCUUGCAGCCUUGUGUGAACACUACAAACUAACAGAUAUGGGAAAUUGGAAAUUACUGUGAGGUAAUGGUAGGUCCCAUAGUGACUCUGAGCUGAUACCAUGCUUAGUGUAUCUACAAGCUUGGAGCCAAGACUGAGAUUAUCAUAGACUGCGGUUAUGGUGCAAAGUAGGAUGAAUGGAGGAACAAAGGUGAUACCAAAGACUGGGAAAGCAUGCUUCCAGAUAUGAGGGUCCUUAGAUAACAAUCAGAAUGUAUCUAGACAAUAGAAUCAGUUCUUCACUUUACUUACAUCUAAAUAAAAGAUUCAAAUAAAAAAGGUAUUUUAAAAAUCCAUACAAAUCAAUAAAAAAAAACAAAAAAAAACAAUAAAAUAUAUUAUGGAAAAAAGUCUGUAUUGGGGGACACAGAAAUAAAUUUAGCUGGGAAUGAUUAUUACUGCUGAGAGCUCUUCUUCAAAGGCGGACUGCUCAAAGAAUGUUUGUUAUUAUUUUAAUGCAUUAUCUGUAUAUUCUAAUUUGAAAAAAAUUGGGGUACCUUCUUGUAGUGCUUUAAAAUGGUUAGAAUUGAGGAGGAAAAUUGAACAUUGAAAUAUUGAAAUGUUUUAUCAGAACAAACAAUUGAGUUUUUACGUCUUUUAUCUGAAUUUUUAUAAAUUUUUAAACAUGCUGUUUUCACUCGGUUUUGCAAUCAGCAAAAACAUCAGGGAUUCUGCCUGUUGAGAACACAAUGUAAUCUGACACAUUUGCUUGGCUGCUAAUAUUUCCUCCAGCCGCUGUCCUUUCUGUGCUGUCGGUGUAAAGAAUUGUGAUUGCCCUAGGCAGGACUUUGUACUUUUUUUUUUUUUUUUUUAUCUGUAUAGCCAUUUAGCAAACAUACAACUAAAGCCAACUGUUUUUAUAAUGUGUUUGUUGAAAAAAAAUGUUUAGGAAACACAAGUAGGAAGCUGGUUCUUUUAACAGGAAAGUCUCAGCUCCAAUAAGUGUAUUUUUUUGUGACCCUGCCUUAAAAUAUAGACAGACUAAGCUUUGAUCCCUCAUAUGUAAUUUGUUCAUAGAGGGGCUUUGAAUGUAAAAUCUCACACAGUUAUUCACCAAAUAAGAAUUGUUAGGAAUUCAAAGUGAAUUUUAAAUUUAGAGUGGCUUUGUCACCCCCUGACCACCAAAGAAAAUAACAUUUACAAUUACAAUUAUUUUUAUAGCACUAACAUAGUCCACAGUGCAGUACAAUAGAUACACAUUUAAUUCUAACAUGUAUGACAUACGGGAACAGUAGGUGAAGAGGACCCUGCCCAAACAAGCGUACAGUCUAAAGGAUUUCAUAAGGAUAACAUCGUUUAUAAAAUGCUCAUAAAGACUGUUUUGGAAAAAAAUUCUGAAAUUCCAACUCAGUUAAAAGGUAUCACAAAACACUACUUUGUCUUAUCUUUUUUUUCGACACUUGACAAAAAGGUGUAACUACCGCUGUAAAGAGUUGUCAAGCACUCAGCUGUCGUGGUUACGCAGAAUCCCGCGGACUGGUGGGAUCCUCCAUACAAAUCAGUGUUCUACUCUACUAUUUGCGAGAGUCCAGCACGAACGUUGGCUCCUGGCAGAUGAAGCACCAGGAGCUGAAGUGAACCAGCAAGAAGACAAUUGUGGCGGCCGUGAGGGAAAGGUUCAGCUAAGUAAACUCAUCUUUCCCUCACCCAACGGUCAUCUUACUGCAAGCGGCAAAGUCACAGAGUCCUAGUGACAGAGCCACUUAAAGGCCAAAAUGGCCAACUCCGCUAGACAGCUAUUCUUCCAGUUAAGCUACCUUUGUCCUUACAUGAAAUUCAUGUUGAAUUCCUAACAUUUUUCACUUUAGUAAAUAACCCUGUUAGAUUCAAGGCUAAAUAAACAUGAAGAAGGUCUUGCUUAGGGGUUUCUUUUAAAGGUUAUACAUCAGAUUUCAAAAUCACUCAUAAGGGCAAGCUAAAAAGCAUAAACAUAUGCUGGCACUCAGACCUAUAAACGGGUGCAGAUAUCGAGGUUAACCACCUAUAAACAACCUCAAAAUAUAAAUACAAAAUCUAAUGAAUGAUACCACACUCCAAAAAAGGGGUGUUUUAUUUCAUAUUAAAUACAAGAUCAGAGACAAUCCAUAGUGUAUUAUUUCAUACCAUAAAGAUUGUGCAAUGGAAAAAACCUUAAUUCAUAUUAUGUUCAAGAUCAAAGGCAUAGUUCAUGUUAUGUACAUAAAUCAAAAAGCAAUCUAUAGUGCAUCGUUUCAUACCAGAAGGUUUAUAUAUAAAGGACAAACAAUAUCCUAAAUCAUGACCAUAACCUAGAUGGAUACUGUAAUAUGCAUUUCAAAUAUUGUGAGUUCAUAUACUUAGGGGUUCCACCCACAAAAACAUAUAUUUCUGUCAAGACCAAAGAAUUCUUUAAAAUUGUUCUUCUUGCCCCACUUUGGGUUAACUCUUUUAAGCUACUCAGAGGCCUCUUAAAAAAAAAAAGACAAAAGUUCUUUUGAAAAAAAAAUAACGAGAAAUAAAAAAUGGAAAACACAAACAAAAUAUAUUGCAGCCUUUAAAACCAGAAAACAACAAAAAUAAAGUCAAUCUGUAGGAGUACUCAAAAGGAAACAAAAAUGAUAAGUAAUGGUAGCAAGAUUGUGAAUGUGGGUGUGAGUCCUUGUUGUAGUGGUAGUUUGCUGUCCAGAAUCAAUUUGUGCCAGCAGAGUUGUUAAGGAUCCUUCGUAGGAGGUCUUCCUUAAUGUGUGGAUGAUAGUUCCAGGUAGUGAUGAGGCUGUAUCUGUAGAUGUGAUCGGGAUCCAGGUCACCAGGGAGGGCGAAAUCAAGAAAGAGAGUAAGCGCUAAAUAACAAUAAGGCUGCAACCCUUAAAGGGGAUCCCUGAAAAAAACCUUCAAAUACAAUAAGAAUAAAAAACAAACAAAGAUAAAGGUUGCGCCAAAAUAGACAAAUAAAAAUAUAUAUAUAAAAGUCUUAGCUGAAAAGAUCUUCUUAAGAUCAAAUAGUCUAUAAAGUGCUUGUUCAGGAACAAUGUCCUCGCUGUCCUUCCCCAGGGGGAUCCAAUAUUAUGAAACGAUAAAACAGAUAAAAAGACCAAAUAGUGUAGUAUGUCCAAUAUGGUACAAGAAAUAAUAAAAGAAGAUGGUAAUGCACUCACAUGUAUUAGAGCUAUAGCUAGCUCUAGUAUGAAAAGCGUAUAGCGGUAUGAUCCCUGCUUAUGGGAUAUGGUGCAGGCUUCUUCUUCCAAGGGUAUAUUCCACACUCAAAUAAAAUAAAAGAGAGACGACCAAUAGUGCUCACUGGAUAAAAUAAUAUACAUUAAAUACAUAAAAAGGUACUCACAAGAGUGGAGCAGGCAAAUCGCUCCUUGACGACAGCGUUGAUGGUAUGAUCCCCACCUCAGUAUUGCUUGGAGUCCAGAAAGAUAAAAUGCCAGGUAAAAAUAAUAAAAAAUAUAUAAGGUGUAUUAAAAGAUAAUUGGCACAGUAAAAGGUGACCAAAAAAUCUUUAAUAAAAUAAAAUACACAAUAUAAGUAUACUUAUAGUUUGUAUUUUAUUCUAUUAAAGAUUUUUUGGUCACCUUUUACUGUGCCAAUUAUCUUUUAAUACGCCUUAUAUAUUUUUUAUUAUUUUUACAUGGCAUUUUAUCUUUCUGGACUCCAAGCAAAAACAAACAUACAAAAUUAAGCCUUGCUCAAACCCCAACUUCUAUAUUAUAUACAUUAUGUAUCUGAUGAACCUUAUAAGACUGAAAUAAAUGACCCAGAUGUCCUAUACAUUAAUUGGCCCUAAAAAAGCUUAUUAAGAAAUUAGAAAGUAUUCUGAACUGGGGCCUAAAAUGAGAACUGUGAGGUGGCUUGAAAAUGAGAAAAGGGAUAUCCCGUAUGCUCAUUUCCAUAUUAUGUGUGGCAGAUUGAAAAGUUUAAUAAAUAUUUUUUUAUUUAUGCUCUGUAUCAGGUGGGAUUUUGUGUUUGCAUUUUUUGUUAAUCCUUGAAUGUGAAUAUUCCUUAACAGUAUAUUUGAGAAUAUACUUAAAACAAUGGGGAGUUUUAUGACCAUUUCAACAACCUAGUUGUUGGUUAUCCAAAUACGGAAUCUCUGGAUCAACAGUUAACCUUCAACUUUCCAUUAUCUAUAAAAUCUACUUUUUUUUUCCUGCAAAUCCUGUUUUACCAACAAAAGGAGCCACACCUGUAUAUGUUAACUCAGCUGUAAUUACAUCAUGUUGUGUAGGGAACAGUUCAACGAGCCAUGGCAUCAUAUAUAUGAAAAGCAUGGCUUCGAAAGCUUACAGAAGAUAAAACCAGACAUGUCCUUAACUAAUAUUCAUGUUACAGACAGUUUUACCUAAUGCAUGAUAAACCUUAAAAAUCUAGUCUGGUGACUAAUAACCUACUAUUCAUAAGGGGAUUUAAGACAUUUCUUGAAAAUAAAUGCAUUUUUAUUGUAAUAAUUUCAGGAAGCUCAAGGUGACAAACUAAGAAAAAAAAAAAAAAACUUGAUUUUUUUAUGUGUGUAUGCUAAUCACCUGACCACAACCAUUACACACAGCCAGCACAGACCAUGUCCUCACACAAUGAGGAUGCAUAGAAUGAGACACUCAUAUUUUUUUUCUUUGUGUAUGCUAAUCCCCCGACACUCAAUGUUAGAAUACGUUAAAGAACAAUGUAUGGCUAAUUAAAAACUUUCAGUAAAAAAUAAAUCAAUUAGGUCAUAUAAUUUUAGGCAUAAUAAAUGUAGAUGUGUCAAUAAUUUAGCUUAUAUCUAAAAUAUACUGGAAACUAAAAGUGGGCCUUGAACUUUCCUGUGUAAAUUGUCCAACAGGGCACUAUGAAUAAGGUCCCCCUACAUUUACAGUUUACCUGUUAAAAAAAUAAAAAAAAUAAAGCAUUUUACUUACCUGGAAUCCAGCACCAGGUGAAACUCCCAGCACUUACCUCAAUGCCCUUUCUAACAUCACAGAGCUCUUUCCUGGUCCAAUCACAAGCUGUUCCAUAAAGAAGCCUGGGACUGCACCUUUUACAAACUUCAGUUAGCAAGCAUGUAUUCUGAGCCGGCGAGAGAAGUGAGGGAGGAAGAAGGGGGGGUGACUGGGAGGGGGAUUUCAUUUAAAAAUGACUAUACAAUUAACAAGGGAGGCGUGAGGGGGCACCUACAGGGUGGGAGGGAUGGGGCAGCUAUAUUCCCCUUGUAGGCGCUCUGCUUUCAAGUGGAAGAUUAUCACGUUUGUCACCAGCAUUUUAAUCUCCAAUUAGUAUGUUGUGAUAAAUCUUGGAGCCGCCUUUUAAAUGCAUGUCCAGAAAAUAACUUGUGAUUGAGGUAGACCAUCGGGCUCACUGACUUGUUGGAGACUUGUAUGUACAUGAAACAUUGGCACACAUUGGGCUGCCGGCAGAUAUGGUGGAGGUUGCAAACACACUUUGACAACUGUCGGCCGUUUGAGAUUUCCAAUACAUUUGAAGAUUACAAUUUAGAGGGAUGAAAUUAAAAGAGAAUGGAGCUGCAUAUGGCAUUAGUACAUGGGUAAUUCUCCACUGGAAACAUCAUUACUGUGUAUAUGGGAUUUGAAGAAGUAAAGAUGUCAGAACAGCCUUUAUUCUUCUGAGUGCCCUGCGGUAUACUGCGUCACGGUAGUAGGGUUAUUUCCCAAACUGUCCAUUUUCAAGAAUUCAAUUUAAUGAAAAAAACAAAGGCACAAAUAGACCAACUGUGACUAUGGAUAAGUUGGAGACAAUUUCCAGAUCAGCUUUGUUUGCCUCUGUUUUUAUCAUGCGAUUUAACUCGUGAAAAUUUGGAUUUUCUAUUUUUUUUUUUUUUUAAUAACUCUUCGGGUUAUUCUCUAAAAUGAGAAUUGAAAGUGAAUUUCAAAUUAAAGGUCAAAAUAGCCAAAUUGGAAAAAUUCUGGAAUCCAAUCACUGUGGCCUUAAAUUGGAAAUUCACUUAGAAUUCUCACUUUAGUAGAUAGCCCUGCCUGGUAUAUUGACUCAAAACCUCUAAACAGUUAAGCAGUGAAUUUCCAUAUGUAGGCCAAAAUUGUUUCAAGAAUCUUGCCAAUUCCUCUCAAAUACCGUAUAUUCCAACUUGGCAUGUCAGUCUACAAAUAUAACUAUUCAACGGAUACACUCAUUAAAAGCAACCAUUGGCACAUGUUAAAUUACCAGUGAAUUCACAAUCCUUAUUGCACAACACAUCCAAAUUGGUUAUGUUUCACAUGUUUGUAAUAAUUUAUAUCUAUGUCCCUGCAUAUUGUCAUUUAGCUGAACAUAGAUGGCAGCCUGUCUUUCGGAGAUCUUAUUAGAUCUCUGUCUCUGUGUUGUCCUUCUUAUGUAUUCCAAGCAGUGAGAAUCCGAUUACUUGGUAAUGGUUGUAUUCAUUGAACUAGCAAUCUGCACAGUCAGCCUGAUUUAUGUACUAUUCCCAUAACUGUACUCUGGCGGCAAAAGGAGAAAUACUAUUUAGUGUCUCUUGUAAAAGGUUAAUUAGUUAGUUUCUUUUGAUUUCAAUUAGUUUUUCUUUUACAGUUCGUGAAUUAGUUUCAAUUUAGCUGUUAGUGGUCUGAAAUUUUACAGAAAUGACUCACACAUUGUUUUCAGCUGGUAUGGACGAAUCAAAAUGUACAAUUCCUUUUAAUUUACACCCACACUAACCAAUCCAUUGGGGAUUUACUUGUAGAGUCCUUUUCGUUAGAUAAAUCCUGGACAGAUUGCUUUGUUCAGGUGUAGAUUAAGCCUUUAAGGACCAAACUUCUGGAAUAAAAGGGAAUCAUGACAUGUCACACAGAGGCAGAGGAAGAUUAGUUAAGUCCUUGGUUUUACAGCAAGUACAUAUAGUUUUGAAUAUGUGUAUUUCAAUUUGUACUUAUUUUUUUUUUUUUUUUUUUAUUGGAGACACCAUUUGUAUUAGAUUUCAAACAUACCUGUGUCUAAGCGGAUGGUUUCCUACGCAGAGGCUUGUGUUUAUUUGUUUCAAGCAAUGAUGUACAUUAAAUGUAUAUAGACUUUGCCAAAUUUAAAUUAUCAAAGGCAUAAAACUAGCGUGAUAAUGCAGCGUUCAGGCAUUUGUAGUCAGGGUUUUACGACUAUUGUAUCGGCCGUUAAUGGACAAGUUUCAGAUGCAUAUUUUUUAAAAGCAUGGACAAAUGCGGUAUUUAUCAGUCUACAUGUGGCAGCAAUUAAAUUAUAAGCCAGAUUGUAGCCAAUGUGUAUGCGCUGUCCCCUGCGCUAAAUUGGACCAGGUCCAACCAGAAUAAGGCAAUGAACGCUUUAGGUCUAUUCUGAACUUCGCAGUUUGCUCAAAGUGUAGUCACUUAAUGGUAAGCCUGUGUAAGUUAAUCACGUGGAAUUAAAUUGCGGUAUAUGGUAGCGAAGCCAGAUUAAUGGGCGGAUAUCCGUUCUGUGGGGCCCCUAUAAAACCUAUAUUUGGGUCCUGCAUUAAGUAUAUGCCGUUUUAGGCGUGUUCGUCCUAUAAUGCGUCAAUCUGGCGCAGAUUGUGACUAGUUAUGUAAUACAGGUAAAGAGAUAUAUAGAAACAGGCUGGUGCAACUUUAAAAGGGUUCAUUCUAUAAUGCGCAAUCUGGUGUAAGCUGUAGCUAAUGAUGCAAUACUGGUAAAGGAACAUUUAAACAAACAAAUUAUAUAUAAUGCACAAGGGCUCCCACAUUAAAGAGAAGCGGCAUGUUUGGCCCAAGCAGAGCAAACUUAAUAUAACAAUGUGAGUCACUUCACUGGAUGGGGCGAUAUGGCGCCCGGUGUGAGAAGUCUGUCCAGCACGGCUGUUUCAGCCUCCUAGAUGGUAUGUCCGCUAGCUUCCCUCUGGUAUGGCUUUGCCUUAAGUUAGCACGGGGUAAAUGUGCGCUUGGUGAGCUAGCUGUUCCGAUCCGAGUCCCCGAGGCAUCCCCAGUUAUGGCAGGCCCCCUUCCCCUCCCCAAGGCUUGCGUCCGUGCCCGUGGUAAGUUCCACCGCGCUGUGGGCACUCAGGGACCGCAGCUGUCCAGCGUCCCCCCCCGUAGAGUCCGCCAUGGCUCCAGCCUCCUGCACCUCCCCAGCUCCAGCAGAGUACCCCUAGAGCUCCAGCCCCAACUUGCCUCCGGUUUCCAGUAUCGUACAUGGCGUCGGCGCGCGCACCCCGGCCACCAGUCCGCCGGGGGGCCUGCGCACCCCAGCUCCACAGGGCUCACAGAUUUGGGGGGCAUAUUCUCCGGACCACCACCAAAUCCGAAGGUCGGGGCCGGCUCCCUGCCAACCGGUCCGCCGCCCAGAGGGGUCUAGUCGCAGGGCCCGCCAUCCCGGGGGCCAGGGUGUCUCAGUGUGGGCUGCUGUCGCAUUUGCGCGGGGCGCCCCUCGUGGCUGUGUGGGCGUGGAGCCGUGUCGGUCAUUUUAGCUCCAUGCGGGAAAGCGUCAUGCACCGGGUAAGCCCCCAUAUGCAGCCUCCAAAGCUCGGACUCUUGAGCCGGGAUCACCCGCCCGGCCGGGAGGGGGGGGAGCGGGGCCGGACCCAGACUCCUGCAUGUCCCUUGCGUGUUGCGGUCCCCUCUCAUGCUGUGUGCCUCAGGCCUCUGGGGCUUACUGUGCUCCGUUUAUGCUGCCCGCUUGAUGAGUGCCGCGGUACUUUGUGCCUGGGUUCAUUACUUCCUGGCUGCCUGUCUUCUCGUCGGUAGUUAGUCCCUAUGUAUUUUUUUCUUAAGGGUUCUUUAAGCACCAAAACCACUACAGCAAGGUUUUAAACCAUUUUCAAAUAGCCUAACAGUUGGGUCUACCAGGUGCCCGAGGUCCAGCCUCCUGUUCAGAUAUCACUAAAGCAGAAGUCUCUACUGCCUCAUUGGUGAAACCAGUUCCAUUCAUCUUUGCCUUGGCAGGUGGGCAUCCCCUCCCAUUGGAGCAACUAAAUAUCCUCCAUUUGUUUAAAUAUGAAUAUGGAUUUGGGAAGAGCACAGGUACGUAUUGUUUUUCUUUGGUUGUAAAAUUAAAACCGAAUUGCAAAAUAAAAGCCAAAGUAACCAGUAUGGCAAAACCGCAUAAUUGGAUUAUUUUGCCAGCUCAGCUGUUUUGGUGUAAAUUUUGUAGUCUAACUCUUGGUUCACUAACAUUCACUGUUAAGUGAAUAAUCCUUUUAGGUUGUGGAGCUGUAAUAUGUAUUAUGUCAUAUAACACCCAUAUAUAUAUUUGUUUUAAGAUUGUGCUGUAGGUAGGUAACUAGCAAAUCUCAGCCCAGACUAUUUUAGAAGCAAUCUUCAAAUCACAGGCAGGCGAUUUACUUAAAAUGAUAUAAACUAAAUUGAUAUGACAUGUACAUCUUCCAAAGCAUGACAUUUCUGGUUGUCUGUUCACAGCUAUUAAUCACAUCUGUAUCUCUGGUUACUAUGCCAGCAAAGUGAGGAAUCCUUUUGAAGAGAUUUAUGAUACUGUAUACUCACAAGCUGAAAGAGGCUACUCACACACACACAGUCUUUGGUUUCUUACUUUUGUUCUGCUUGCUAUGUUUUAAUAUAUAUAUCUAUUAGUGCUAGACAGGGAUUAUGUAGUACCCAUUAACCAGUGUUUGCGUAGUGCCUCCCCAGUGUUAUGAAAUUCAAUCAUGGAUAAUAACAAAGAUUACUCUGGUUUCCAAGUGCAUCCUGGAGAUGUUACCUUAGUCCAACAUCCAGGGGAUGUUACAAUUACCCAAUGUAAUGGUACUCCUUUUAUCUACCUUGGAAGGAUGAAAGGCUGAGGAAGCCCUGCCAGGGUUGGAAACCCAAGGGUUGAACAGAUUCUACUGAUGAUGCAUUAGCCCACUGAGCUAUCUCACCAGCCUUAGAAUGAAAACAAAACAGUGUCGGUGGGCAGAUGUGCAGGGAAAAUGCAUAAAAGCUUGAACAUAUUGAGCUUGAGUAAUAUUUCAACCUUGAUUGCCAUUACUUUAGCAGCAGAAGAGGUAGCCAUUUCUGUCUUUCACACACAUUUUGUCUAGUGCUGCACAUUUUAACCACCAAAAGGUAGCAAUGUAUUAACAUAGAAAAUCUGUUCAGUGACCUUAAAGGGAUACUAUAGGCACCAAAAUAACUUUAGUUUAAUUAAUCAGUUUUGGUAUAUAAAUCAUGUGUAUCGUGACUUGCACAACUUACAUGAAAAAAGGGUUUUAGUAUCAAUCACAGUGUGUUUACUUUAGAAGGUUUUAUCUCCUGUUCUGUAAAUUAAACUCUAAUUGUAAAAAUGUAGAUGAAUGGAUGUUCAUGUAGAAUCUUCUUAAUUUCUUCUUAUCUUCAGUUGAUUGAUAUAUAUACGUCUUUUGUAUAUAUAUUCUUGGGCCAAAUGCUCGCCACAAUAAUAUAUGUCUAUAUUAUUGAAAAGUACUAAUACGCAAUCUGACUUACGGUUUCUUCAGGUUUAUUCUUUGUUACGGAUACAUAAUAAAACAUAAUAAAUGAUGUUACAGGAUAAUGGACAUUCAACAGCAGAUGGUAAUUGCUGGACUUCUGAUGGGAGAGUUACAUCGUUGUACAGAGCCAAGAGCCAAGCCAAGACUCAAACCAAGACUGAGAGACCUCGUGUCCCUCUGUUACUAUAUAGAAGUGCUAAUACUAACGUCAGCAUAUAACUCUAGCCAUAUAAGGACAAAACCCCCAAAUCCACAUUCCAGAGCUCUCGGACAAAGAAAGCCUUGUGACUUAUUGAUACCAUCUGUUACUUAUGUCAAUCCACACAUCCAUAUAUAUAAUCAAUAGAAACAUAGAAUAUGCAAUAUUCUACAUUCCCUCUGUUUAUGGUUUGUUUUAAAACCAUAACACAAUGUCACUAACCUGUCCAUUCAUACAUCACUUGUAUCACAUUCAUUGAGCAUAGAACAGAAUGUAGUCACAACUUUCUAUUAUAUGAGAGUUCUUAGAAGGUCGAGUUUCUAUCCCUCAUACUGCUUACUUUACUUCAAACUCCCUUUGUUUCAGCUAUGUAUUGAUAUCCAUAUCCAUAUUACAUCAUAACUACUUGAACAUAAUAUAUACAUAUAUAUAACAAUAAUAAAUGAAUAAAAUAAAAUAUUUACAAAUGUUGAUCCAAUAAACAAUAAAGCAAUCAGAAAGAUCUACCUGCUCAGGUACAGUCAUGUCUUUGUAGAUAACAAAAUUAAGAUGAUAACUUUCUAAAUAAUAACUGUGUAUCACUACCAUAUUGCUACAGAUACAUAUAAAAGUAUUUUCAUUCUCAAUACUUGAUAUUACUUAAGUACCAAUAAAUGUAUUACUAUAAUAUCCUGUCCAAUUAGAUUUCCAUGAAUCAUAUGGUUUCUAGCAACCUUAAAAUCUUUAGGUCAUUUGUAUUCAUGAAUUACAUUCCUAUACCAUUAAUACCACCUAGUGAUGAUUGUAUCAGUACUUUACAAUCAUAGUAUUUAAUUUGUAUAUUCAGUAGGCUCUCACUACCUGAAAUAUACCAACACUACUUAUAAGUCUCAUUCAAAGGAUGUGUUAUCAACCAUGAAGUUCUAUAAUAAUUCUUCAAAUAAUGUUCAUGGUGUUAACAAUACUUAUUGUUCUAGAAAUUCUUCACCCAGAAAUCUUUCUAUCAUAGAUUUGAUUUUGUUCACAUAAUUAUAAUUUUCACUAAAAUUCCACCCUGUAGUAACAAACUUUAAAUUCAAUAGAAACAUAGUUUACUUUAAAAGAACUUGGAAAGAACAAUUUAAAUUCAUUAGCAUCACUCUCUUCAUUAGCAUUGUGAUGACUUAUUAAUGUAAUACAUCUUAAAAGCAGGAUUGUCCUAAUGUUCUGACCAAUCCAUAUUCCUUAGUACACUUCAACUGACUAAAAUAAAAUAAAAUAAAACAAAAAUAAACUUGGGGUCAUACUGCCCAGAAACUCUUAUUCCUAGUCUGUGUCUUACAAACUCAGGGAAAUCUUAACAACGUAUUCAUUGGAUAUCACCAUAUCCAGAAACCUAUUCUCCCUAGUCCAUACCUUUAUAGACUUAGGUCAAAUAUAAUUGUGUACUAUACUCUUUCCAUUCAAUUCAAUUCCUCUUGGAUCUCUGAACUCUUAUAUAUCCAAGGCAUUCUUAAUGUAUAUAAUUACUUAAUAUUAAUCAAUAUAAAUUAUCCUUCCUUAGUUUGCUUCCUUUUGUUACCAUAGUUUGUUUUACUUCACCUCAAUAUAAACAAAUUACUCAUUAUAGUUAAUCUAUGAAAUACUAUUGAACUCAAUCUUUGUAGUAUUAAGUAACCAUGAUCCUUAUUUUAUCAACUUCAUAUUUUAUCUUCCUCUGAUACUUCUCAUUCUAUGUAUAGGUAAUAAUGUAAUAGUUCUCUUCAUAAUACUAUCCUUUCGUAAUUUUACUCCAUGUGUUAUACAGUUAUAAGUAGUCUCUCUUGGUAUUAAUACUCAUAACCGUUAAAUAACUUUUCAUUGUCUGUUUUCUUCUUCAUUAAUAUUUAGGAAUAUAUAUGUAUGUUAGUGUCAAUCUUUUAUUUAUUUGUAAGUCUGUUAAUCUUCUGAAUCGAAUGAACUCUGUAGAAUCUUCCAUCACAGUUUGCCGAUCCGAUGAAAAGUCUCUUUCCAACAGUCGAUGUCCAGUUGUCUGAAGGAAUGCUUUCCUGAUUUAUUGCCACAAGGAUCUGUCACGCUUUACCAGUUCAGUUAUUUCUGUCUAUUUCGUUGCUUCAUCCACACAGCUGCGCAGUUCUGGACGCUUGAUUCUGGAAAUUUGCCAAUCUCUGCCACGUGCUUGCUUCUAGAAUUCACGUUGUAUCUUGUGCUUUUUGUCUCAGUUGUAGAAAAUAGUCUUGUACAGUCUUUAUGAUUUGAAAACUCUAUUUUUCUUACAAACACAGUUCUUCUAUGAUUCAGUCUAGAUUCUUUUUUUCUCUUCAAGUUUGUUUUCCCAGUUCCAAAAUAGCUUUGUAACUCGAUUCUUCUCUCUCCCCCCUUGAAGUGGGAACAAAACUUGAAUAGAAGACUGGCUGGCUAACCAAUGUAAAAAUGUAGAUGAAUGGAUGUUCAUGUAGAAUCUUCUUAAUUUCUUCUUAUCUUCAGUUGAUUGAUAUAUAUACGUCUUUUGUAUAUAUAUUAUUGGGCCAAAUGCUUGCCACAAUAAUAUAUGUCUAUAUUAUUGAAAAGUACUAAUACGCAAUCUGACUUACGGUUUCUUCAGGUUUAUUCUUUGUUACGGAUACAUAAUAAAACAUAAUAAAUGAUGUUACAGGAUAAUGGACAGUCAACAGCAGAUGGUAAUUGCUGGACUUCUGAUGGGAGAGUUACAUCAUUGUACAGAGCCAAGAGCCAAGCCAAGACUCAAACCAAGACUGAGAGACCUCGUGUCCCUCUGUUACUAUAUAGAAGUGCUAAUACUAACGUCAGCAUAUAACUCUAGCCAUAUAAGGACAAAACCCCCGAAUCCACAUUCCAGAGCUCUCGGACAAAGAAAGCCUUGUGACUUAUUGAUACCAUCUGUUACUUAUGUCAAUCCACACAUCCAUAUAUAUAAUCAAUAGAAACAUAGAAUAUGCAAUAUUCUACACUAAUCAUAAAUAUAAAACUCAUGUAGGCUCUAGCGGGCUAUUAACAGAGUGGGAGAUAAAUUCUAAAUUAAACACACCGUGCCGUAAAGGAAUUUUAAACAUUAGAUCUCUCUUUAUGGUAAUGUGUAGGGCAUGCAUGUCAAACUCGCGGCCCGCGGGCCACAUGCAGCCCACAACUAAUAUGUUUGCGGCUCACGGGCUGCGGCGAGGGAGCGCUGAGUGUAAGCUCUUCCUACUCAGCUCCCCACAGUGAUGCCGGGAGCCGGAAUAUGAUGUCACUCCAGCUCCCGGCAUCACUCUGCAGCGUGCGAGCUGAGCAGGGAGAGCUUACACUCAGCGCUCACUCGCUGCCUGUAUGCUCCCAGCCUGCACGCCCGCCUGCCCAGCAGCCCCACUAGACCCUAAGUAAGAAAUUCACCCAGCUCUCCCAAGGGAAGGGAGGCUUGGUGGAUUUAAAUUAAAAAAAUGAGUUUUGAGAGGGGGGGAGGGGAAUGUGUGUUUGGGUGUGCAUGGGUGUCUGUGUCUAUGGCUGGCUGUGUGCAUGGCUGUUUGUAUGGUUGUCUGUGUCCAUGGCUGUCGCCAUAUCUGUGUGUAUGUGUAUGGAUGUCUGUGUGUGUGUGUCUGAGUGAUUGUGUGUUUCUGUGAGUGAGUGAGUGUGUCUGUGAGGGAGCUUGUGUGUGUCUGUCAGUAAAUGUGUGUGUCUGUGAGUGUAUGUGUGUGUCGGAGUGAUUCUGUGUGAAUGUCAGUGAGUGUGUGUGAGGGCUUCAAGGAGUAACGGGAGGAUCCACUUUUUUUAGGGUGCAGAUGGGGCCAUUGGGGGUAUACCAGAGGCCGAACUCCGGACACUGCUUGUUGUGUAAUGUUUUUUUGUUUGUUUUUAAACAGGGGCAGGGGUUUAGUAGACGUGGGGACUGGGAUUUAGUAGACGAGAGGAGGUCUGCGGCUUAGUAGACGAGGGGAGGGCUGCAGCUUAGUAGACGAGGGGGGCUGCGGCUUAGUAGACGAGGGAGGGGUUUCGGCUUAGUAGACGAGGGGGGCUGGGGUUUAGUAGACAUGGGACAGGGGGUUUAGUAGAGGGGGUCCCUAUUUUUUUUUAUACUGUACUUUUCAAAAUAAACCUAAGUUUCUAUGAAAAUUUUAGUUUUUGUAUUUUUGGCCGCCCACAUAAACCUAAACCUAAACUUGUUUCUUUGGCCCUUGCUAACCUUUGAGUUUGACAUUCUUGGUGUAUUGAGACUGUGUAGGUAACAUGUAGAGGAGGUGUGACUAUGGCUGUAUAAACAAAGUUAUUUUAACUCAGUGAGCAGUGAGACUACAGGGACGUGAUCUAUACACCAAAACAACUCAAGCUAAAUGUGUUUUGAUGCUUAUAGUGUUCCUUUAAAUAAAUGGAAUUCUUAUAAGAUAACUGGCAAACCUGAAGUCUCAGUUGUGAUCCACAGGAUUUAGUUAUGAAAGCUGAUGAGCUGAGCUGAUUGCCAGGCAUAGUUUUGCCCUUUGGGUCGGUUUGUGCACUUCUCUAGACAAAACUAAGUUUCUGAUUUAGUUAUAAGAUAUAUUGCAUUUGCUUGCGAUUGCCAAGGAAUUCCUGCUUUCAUAGGAAAAGGAAAAUGUUUUCGGUUACUCACCCAAUGCUGUUCGCACGUAGGCAAAGAAGUCUACAAUUAUAAAAUGUAAUGCAGAUGCUGUGCGAUAUUUUGUUUGAACAUACCGGUAUAUACAUUUAUAUAUAAUAACGAAUAUUGAGAACAUGAUGUGUUCAUAAUUUUACAUAACUGGAUAUAGGGUCUAUAUCGAACAAAAUUUUUAUUUUUUUAUUAUUCAUUCUCCCGUCAUAACAAGGCAAAGAGACUAUGGAGGGUAAAAACAGCAAGCGCUUUCCACACUAAGAAAUGUGAAUUCAUGUUGUACAAACGUUAUCCAGUCAUAUAAGUAAUGGGUUGUAUUGUUAAAGGGACAUUCCAGAAACCUAAAUCAUUUACUGAAAAAUUAACUAGUUCUGUUACUUGCUGGUUGUUUAGCUCAAUGGAGCUAAACUUAUGAGGCAGCACCUGCCUUGAAAAGACUUCUUAUUGAACUGCUUUGGAAAGUCUGUGAUUGAGAAGCCACAGAAAGUCUGGGGAGGGGAGGUCUUGCAGAGGCUUCAGACAAGAGAGAUGCUGCUUUUUCAAGAUGUUUUUAUACAUACCCGAAUGAAAAUAUUUCUUUUCAUUGGAGGAUAUCUACUAAACGGACACUUUUUAAAAAUAAAGAGAAUCAAUACAGUAAAGGGGAAGAGUGUAUUUAAAAGAAGAAAACCUACCUCAGCAAGAGGACAUAGUCUUAAAUUAGAGGGAGAAAAAGUUUAAAAAUGAUACCAGGAAGAAUUACUUUACAGAGAGGGUAGCAGAUGCAUGGAAUAGCCUUCCAGCUGAAGUGGUAGAUGUUAACACAGUAAAGGAGUUUAAGCAUGCGUGGGAUAGGCAUAAGGCUAUCCUAGCUAUAAGAUAAGGCUAGGGACUAACGAAAGUAUUUAGAAAAUUGGGCAGACUAGAUGGGCCGAAUGGUUCUUAUCUGCGGUCACAUUCUAUGUUUCUAUGUUUUGUUUUGUUUAAAGUAAACAUAUAGCGAGCAGAUAGGAAAACUUACAAAGGGCAUUCAAAAAGGGUAAAGGUUGGGUGAGGUCGAACGUAAUGUUAACCUGGUCCACCCGAACGAAGCUCCAAUAUAACCAGACCUGGUUCCAUAAUCUCAAUUGCCAAGGGGACCUAGGUAGGAAUUCUCAGUGGGGGCAGUCCUGACUUAAAAAAAAAACCCAGACAGAUUUGUUAAAAAGGUUAUAGUAACCCUUUAAUAACAAUGUCUUCAUUUGUGCAUAAUGUCUACACAUAAUACAACAUACAGUUUCACUUAAUGUGUUCUAUACAGGACUUUGCAAUUUGAAUAUAAUUCCUACUGUGCUGUGAAUGGUUUAAACUGAGCCCUCUGUACCUACUCCUGCCUUAAUGACUAUAGAUGUAGCCAUAACAUCCCUCCUUUGAAACUUGCUUACUUUGCGAGAGGAGGGAAGAGCUGCCAUUCUACAGAGGGACAGAAUGGAACCUUGUCAAAGUGGUUUAGAUAUCUCUACAGCGUGAAAUUCAAUUCUGGAUCAUAAACGAGCAUAACUAGGGCUUCAUGGGUCACUUUCCUUUUGCUUUGUUUUGCAAUCUCAAAUGGAAGUUAACUCAUGUAUACAUAUUAACAGAAGAGAAUGAGUUAAAGGGACACUAUAGUCACCUGAACAACUUUAGUUUAAUGAAGCAGUUUUGGUGUAUAGAACAUGCCCCUGCAGCCUCACUGUUCACUCCUCUGCCAUUUAGGAGUUAAAUCCCUUUGUUUAUGAACCCUAGUCACACCUCCCUGCAUGUGACUUGCACAGCCUUCCAUAAACACUUCCUGUAAAGAGAGCCCUAUUUAGGCUUUCUUUAUUGCAAGUUCUGUUUAAUUAAGAUUUUCUUAUCCCCUGCUAUGUUAAUAGCUUGCUAGACCCUGCAAGAGCCUCCUGUAUGUGAUUAAAGUUCAAUUUAGAGAUUGAGAUACAAAUAUUUAAGGUAAAUUACAUCUGUUUGAAAGUGAAACCAGUUUUUUUUUCAUACAGGCUCUGUCAAUCAUAGCCAGGGGAGGUGUGGCUAGGUCUGCAUAAACAGAAACAAAGUGAUUUAACUCAUAAAUGACAGUGAAUUGAGCAGUGAAAUUGCAGGGGAAUGAUCUAUACACUAAACUGCUUUAUUUAGCUAAAGUAAUUUAGGUGACUAUAGUGUUCCUUUAAU
rnacentral:lncRNA from 1 species